CUCCGCAGGAGAUCUCCACACCACUCUUCACUGAGUAACCUGGUACCUGCCAGGCCCACAUCAGUCUCUGAUGUGGCUAAAGCCUGGUCCCUCUGAACUCAAGCUUCCCUGGAGCCCUGCCGCUCAGCCAGAUGGAGUUGGUCCCCACACUUUCCUACCUGCGUAGUGGUCAAACACAGUGGGCACGUAUUCCUCCGGGAAGGCGUCGUUGGCGUAGCUCAUCAGCAGGGCUGUUCCAGAUUGAACUGUCAUGCACACCAUGACUGAUCAACAUGGCAGGUGAUGAAACGAACAAGGAGAAAAGCUCUGACUCUACGUUUUCUUUAGGAAGUGAACCUCUGCGCACACUCACUGGUCAGAACAAGUUACAUGCUCAUAUGGGCUCAACAGAAGGGUCAGAAGUAUCAUCCUACCCACACGCUGAACAGCCUGAAUGACAGACAGGGAUUGAUUUUUUGGCUGUACUUGGAAUGUGAAUGGUUCAUAUGAGGCCAUGGCGUGAAGCAUUUGAAGGCCCCCAUGGCUGCCUGUAGUGGAUGCAAUCUUAUUUCCAGUUAGUCUUUCUGGGGAACCCAGGGUAUGUAGAAUAAAAUUGUAAUUUAGAAACUUCUGUUAUACUUCUGCAUAAAAGACUUCGAGGAUGAAGAAGUAGCCAAACAAACCCGUGCAGGUUAAAAGGUGAUUGAUUGUCUGGAAGUGAACAGGAUCACCCAAGCACAAUGUGACUGAUGAUAGGUGGUUGGCAGAGCUGUGAGCAGGGUCUUCCUUGACCUUCAGGCUGAGAUUGGUCGAGUCUGCAUCUGCACACUAUAGAUAUUGAGCCUACAUAGAGGCUUU
rnacentral:lncRNA from 1 species